GACGUAGGGCGCGAGCGUUGUCCGGAUUUAUUGGGCGUAAAGAGCUCGUAGGCGGCUUGUUGCGUCGACCGUGAAAACCCGGGGCUCAACUUCGGGCUUGCGGUCGAUACGGGCGGACUCGAGUUCGGCAGGGGAGACUGGAAUUCCUGGUGUAGCGGUGAAAUGCGCAGAUAUCAGGAGGAACACCGGUGGCGAAGGCGGGUCUCUGGGCCGAUACUGACGCUGAGGAGCGAAAGCGUGGGGAGCGAACAGG
rnacentral:rRNA from 1 species